UGGGGAAUUUUGGACAAUGGGCGAAAGCCUGAUCCAGCAAUGCCGCGUGUGUGAAGAAGGCCUUCGGGUUGUAAAGCACUUUUGUCCGGAAAGAAAUGGCUCUGGUUAAUACCUGGGGUCGAUGACGGUACCGGAAGAAUAAGGACCGGCUAACUACGUGCCAGCAGCCGCGGUAAUACGUAGGGUCCAAGCGUUAAUCGGAAUUACUGGGCGUAAAGCGUGCGCAGGCGGUUGUGCAAGACCGAUGUGAAAUCCCGAGCUAACUGGGAAUUGCAUUGGUGACUGCACGGCUAGAGUGUGUCAGAGGGGGGUAGAAUUCCACGUGUAGCAGUGAAAUGCGUAGAGAUGUGGAGGAAUACCGAUGGCGAAGGCAGCCCCUGGGAUAACACUGACGCUCAUGCACGAAAGCGUGGGGAGCAAACAGGAUUAGAUACCCUGGUAGUCCACGCCCUAAACGAUGUCAACUAGUUGUUGGGGAUUCAUUUCCUUAGUAACGUAGCUAACGCGUGAAGUUGACCGCCUGGGGAGUACGGUCGCAAGAUUAAAAGCUCAAAUG
rnacentral:rRNA from 1 species